UACAGAGGGGGCAAGCGUUGUUCGGAAUUACUGGGCGUAAAGGGCGCGUAGGCGGCCUUCUAAGUCGAACGUGAAAUCCCCGGGCUCAACCCGGGAACUGCGUCCGAUACUGGAAGGCUUGAAUCCGGGAGAGGGAUGCGGAAUUCCACGUGUAGCAGUGAAAUGCGUAGAGAUGUGGAGGAACACCGAUGGCGAAGGCAGCCCCCUGGGUCAAGAUUGACGCUCAUGCACGAAAGCGUGGGGAGCAAACAGG
rnacentral:rRNA from 1 species